rnacentral:rRNA from 1 species
GAUGAACGCUGGCGGCGUGCCUAAUACAUGCAAGUCGAGCGAACAGAUGAGGAGCUUGCUCCUCUGACGUUAGCGGCGGACGGGUGAGUAACACGUGGAUAACCUACCUAUAAGACUGGGAUAGCUUCGGGAAACCGGAGCUAAUACCGGAUAAUAUAUUGAACCGCAUGGUUCAAUAGUGAAAGACGGUUUUGCUGUCACUUAUAGAUGGAUCCGCGCCGCAUUAGCUAGUUGGUAAGGUAACGGCUUACCAAGGCAACGAUGCGUAGCCGACCUGAGAGGGUGAUCGGCCACACUGGAACUGAGACACGGUCCAGACUCCUACGGGAGGCAGCAGUAGGGAAUCUUCCGCAAUGGGCGAAAGCUUGACGGAGCAACGCCGCGUGAGUGAUGAAGGUCUUCGGAUCGUAAAACUCUGUUAUUAGGGAAGAACAAAUGUGUAAGUAACUAUGCACGUCUUGACGGUACCUAAUCAGAAAGCCACGGCUAACUACGUG